rnacentral:lncRNA from 1 species
ACCCCUGGCCGCAAGAAAUCCUCCCACCUUAGCCAACCAAAGUGUUGGGAUUGCAGGAGUGGCCACUGUGUCUGGCCAGGAAAGCCCUUCUGUUUCACUUGAAUGAUAUUUCUGCAGCAUACCUACAGCCAUUGUUGUAUUCAACUGCAUCACUGCGGAGAAAAAAAAGGCUGGACUCUGAAAUGGGCAUGUACAGAGACAAAGAGACCCCAACAUGCUUCAGGCUUUGAGUGGAGAGGACACAGCCUCUGCUGGGACAGGGAACAGAGGGAUGUGGAGUCCCUGAAGAUGCUUUUGGACAAUGGUCUGAGGUUGGCAUGAGCGAUGACAUCAGAGAUUCCGACCAUCCUGAUUGGAGGGACCGGACUCCGUGGUGCCUGGAGAUCAGUUGGACAACAGUAUCUUCUCAGAGCUGUU